rnacentral:rRNA from 1 species
AUUGAACGCUGGCGGCAUGCCUUACACAUGCAAGUCGAACGGCAGCGCGGACUUCGGUCUGGCGGCGAGUGGCGAACGGGUGAGUAACAUAUCGGAACGUGCCCUAGAGUGGGGGAUAACUAGUCGAAAGACUAGCUAAUACCGCAUACGAUCUAUGGAUGAAAGUGGGGGAUCGCAAGACCUCAUGCUCGUGGAGCGGCCGAUGUCGGAUUAGCUAGUUGGUGGGGUAAAGGCCUACCAAGGCAACGAUCAGUAGCUGGUCUGAGAGGACGACCAGCCACACUGGGACUGAGACACGGCCCAGACUCCUACGGGAGGCAGCAGUGGGGAAUUUUGGACAAUGGGCGCAACCCUGAUCCAGCAAUGCCGCGUGAGUGAAGAAGGCCUUCGGGUUGUAAAGCUCUUUUGUCAGGGAAGAAACGGCGGGAGCUAAUAUCUCCUGCUAAUGACGGUACCUGAAGAAUAAGCACCGGCUAACUACGUGCCAGCCGCCGCGGUAAAAC